CGGAACGGGUGAGUAACGCGUGAGGAACCUGCCUCAAAGAGGGGGACAACAGUUGGAAACGACUGCUAAUACCGCAUAAGCCCACGGCUCGGCAUCGAGCAGAGGGAAAAGGAGCAAUCCGCUUUGAGAUGGCCUCGCGUCCGAUUAGCUAGUUGGUGAGGUAACGGCCCACCAAGGCGACGAUCGGUAGCCGGACUGAGAGGUUGAACGGCCACAUUGGGACUGAGACACGCCCAG
rnacentral:rRNA from 1 species